GCGAUAGUAGCUUAGUUGGUAAAGCGCCACCUUGCCAAGGUGGAGACCGCGGGUUCGAGCCCCGUCUAUCGCUCUA
rnacentral:tRNA from 2 species